rnacentral:lncRNA from 1 species
AUAUAGUAGAGUCGGGUGUUUCCGUCAGGCGAGUCACUACCACAAAAUAACUACAGAAAACUGUAUCCUGAUUUUAACACACAUUUUAGGGCCAUAAAUAUUAUUUUAAAAUUUGCUCCAUUUUUUAUCCUUAAUAAAGAAAAAACUCAAUGUCGGUAGACAAGGCCAUUAUGGUCAACCAGAAUCAAACAGAGAAGAAAUCUAGCAAACACCGAACUAAAUAUUACUUUCAAUUCACCAGUAAAUUAACAAAAACUUGCAAAAUAAUGCAAUUAGCCUUCCCGAUUUAGAACCAGAAAAUGAUUCAAGAAAAUUUGAAGCUUUUUUUUAAUGGAAAAUCUUAACCUAACCUUUAUCCUCACUCUGCUUUUGCUCAUCAUUUCUCUCCUGCCCACACCAUUCUCCGAUGGUAAUGGUAAUUCCAAGAACCCAUUUCAAGAAACUCAUUUCAAUCAUUAAUGUGUUGUUAGUUAUGACAAAUGUAGUUAAUUUGUGUAUUUUCUGUAUGCAGGGAUUAAGGUACGGCAUGAGAAAGAUGAGCCGUAUGUGGGAGUGAACAUAAGCACAGACUUGUCAAAUUUGCUUGCACCAACAGAUUUGUUUUCUUUUUUUCAGUUACAAAAGAUAACCCAUGUUAGAUUGUAUGAUGCUGAUGCUAAAAUUCUUAAAGCACUUGCAAAAACUAAGAUUAGGGUCAUUGUUAGUGUGCCCAAUAACCAGCUUCUUCCUAUAGGGUCUUCCAAUGUCACAGUCGCCGCUUGGAUUGACCGCAAUGUGGCGGCGUACUACCCAGAAACGCUCAUCACCGCGGUGGCAGUGGUGAUGAGGCGUUGACUACUAUUCCAAUCUCAGCUCCUUUGCUUAUGCCAGCAAUUGAGUCACUCUCAAGUGUUCUUGUGUCUGCAAAUUUGCAUAACCUAAUCAAGAUUUCGACUCCAAAUGCUGUUUCCGUUGUUCUUGAUCCUUUCCCACCCUCCCAAGCCUUUCUAAUUAGAGUUUGAGCCCUGUCAUUUCCCAAUAUUGCAAUUUUGUUCUAGGACCCAGUCACCUUUGAUGAUGAAUUUAUAUCCUUACCAUGUGUUCAUGGAGAAUAAGGGUAUUGUGCCUUUGGAUAAUUCUUUGUUUAAGCCUUUGACACCCUCUAAAGAAACGGUUGAUUCUAAUACUUUGCUCCACUAUACUAGUAUUCUUGAUGCCAUGAUAGAUUCAGUGUAUUUUUCUAUGAAGAACCUUAAUGUUACUGACGUGGUAGUUCUUAUUACUGAAAUUGGGUGGCCUUCGAAAGGGGAAUGGAAGGAACCUUAUGCUACCAUUGACAAAUGCAGACACUUACAAUUCGAAUUUGAUUAAGUGCGUUUUCUAUCAUAGUGGAACGCCAUUGCAUCCUGAAGUUACUUCUAGCUUGUAUGUAUUCGAGUUGUUUAAUGAGGAUUUGAGGUCUUCUCCUGUGUCUGAGGCAAGCUGGGGACUGUUCUAUGGGAAUUCGACCCAUGUUUACUUGCUUCGCGUGUCGGGCAGUGGUACUUUUUUGGCCAGUGACACCACACAUCAAACCUAUUGCAUAGCCAUGGAUGACAUUGAUACAAAAACAUUGCAGGCUGCUUUGUAUUGGGCAUGUGGAGCAGGGAGGGCAAAUUGCUCGGAGAUUCAGCCUGGAGAGUUGUUACCAGCCUAAUAACGUGAAGAACCACGCUUCUUGUGCCUUCAAUAGUUAUUACCAAAAGGAAGGGAAUUCUCCCGGUUCUUGUGAUUUCAAGGGUGUGGCCAUGAUCACUACCACAGAUCCAAGUAAGUGAUUCACUUGACAACAAUGGAUUCCAGCCCCGGCACAUUGAUUGUAUGUUUGAAACUUUGAAUUUUCUGGUGAAAAGACACAAAAGAAAUUUCUAUUUAAAUGUUUGGUUGUUAAGUAUACUGUUAGAUAUAAUGUUGAGUGUUAAGCUAUGAUUAAUUGUUUACUUGUCUUCUAGAAAUAUGGGAGUUCUAUGAGAAGAGAAGGUUCCUUCACUGUUUGUCAGGUAAGGUGGAUGGGAUAAGAUUAGAUCUUGUUAAAAAGAAGAAACUAAAAUCUUGAAGUAUUGCCAGUCAUGUCUUAUAAUAUAUAUCGAACACGCCUUCAGUUUAUUUUUAUUUUUGAGGAUACUAUAUGGCAAUGAGAAUUUCGAUAUAUCUUUUCAAUGCUGUACCACACUAGGCAACAAUUCACGGGCUAGUAAAUCGAAAAUCUGGGCAGUACCACAUAAGCAAACCAUCCCAUUUCAAAUUGGAUGGUGGAAAGAACACUAGCGGUUUGUUUGCAGAUUAUAAUUUUCCAUCGAAAAAGUCCAAUUCUAAUUCUACGUUGUCUUGCAAUAGAAGGCACCGUCUUACUAGAAAAUUUUUACUUGUGCAUUAUAAACUAAAAUUUGUAGUCGAGCCAUCCACGGCUCCAAUUAUUUCAUAUUCAUGCUGCAGUUAUUUAUGAUCUCUAAGUAUACCCUUUUGCUCUUGGGAAAUUUGCAGGUCAUGGCAGUUGUAAAGGUAAGCAUAAUUACUGUACUUUGAAUCUAAUUACCUCAUCCGUUCUCUCGACAUACAACAAACAUUUGAUGAUUGAUGCAGUAACAAGGCCAGAAGUAAUAAGAGGAGCCAGGCAGUGAACACAACGGAAGCAAGUAGUGCAGGGACAAUGAGAUUGAUUGGCUUCCAUGGCACUAGAAUGAGCGUAUACCUACUCUCUGGUGCGGCAUUUUGUUUGAUAUAGUAUUCCUUCGUUCCAAAAUUAAAUGUAAAGGUACGAAUAAUUGUUAAAAGCUUUUGUUUAGGCUGGACUCGUAACUUUUCGUAUAUAGACAUGUAAGUACCUUGAUCGUGCUCUGUCAUUGGAAUAAUACAGAAUGAGCUUUCGAAAAUACCCUUAAAAAUGUCUACAACACUGAACUUGAAGUUUUUAGUGUCAUUUUCAAUAUUAAUGUCAACUUUUAACUUCUAUAAUAAUAUCAAAUUUCUCCACAUUUUUUACCUUGGCUAGCAUACAUGACCCUCUUUCUACAACCUCGUCUUCUCUCUCACUACCAUCUUUGUCAACCUUACCUCCUCCCGAGGCCUACCAUCCAUCUAGGCCUACCUUGCGAAGGCAUUUUGCUUGUGUUUGUUGUUGAGGCUUCAUUAUUGCAACAUAGGCUAUGUGGGGUGAGGACUGGAGGUCAAAAGUUAUGGGGUCGAGAAGUGAUAACAAAAGAAGGUAAUUGUAAGAACUGAGAAGUGAAGCGUGACAAUAAAAACUGAGAUUGAUUAAGAGUAUAAAAGUAUGAUAUUUAAAGAUAUACGAAUAAGUAAUAAACAAUAUUUAAAUUUAAUCUUCAAAGCUAAAAGUAAAUUUCCCAGCAAUCAAAUUGGUGGAAGGACUACUGCUGUUUAGUGUCUAGUGAAAUGGCAUUUCCAGGGCCGUAUUUGAUAUUUCUGCACAUUUUUCCCCUUUAACCGUAAAGGUUUCAUCGCUAUUCAAAACUCUUUUAUGACCCAAGUGCUCUGUUUUGCAUUGUUGCACCUAGUUCUAAUUCAGUAAUUCUUAGUGCCAAUCAUGCUACACAAACAGGCUCAAUGACAGAUAUUAAAACAACGAGACAUUUGGCGAAACAUUAUUGGACAGUUUGAAUAAAAAAAAACUCAACUGUGCCCCUGUUUGCAAUCCUUGUUUGAAUAGCAUUAUUCUUCUCACUGCUCAGUUAAGAAAAAUCAGAAUGUUAUUUUUGUGGUGAUAUGAACUAAGAUGAUAAGUUGGACUACGAUGCUAUUUUUCCAGGGCCACAUGGGCCGUGGACGAAUAGGGGCGCCACUUAGGUGGGGACAACGGCCUUGGACGGGUAGAAUAAUUCUAAGUCGGAUGGUCAAUUUCCUUUAUCUGAUGGAUGGAUUGAUGCUUGGACAGAGCUAAGACCCGGAGAAGUUGGAUGGAUAUAUGACACCAAAUCAAACAAGUUGAAUGGUAACCGGACUCUGCUGAAAUACUUGGAUCGAUUUGUGUGCAAGUUGAGAGACUCCCUUUCUUAUCAUAAAUCAGUUGGUGUUUAAAACCGGUAUAGGUGACCGUACUUGUGUCAUUAAAUUAUUUUUAAAUUAUAGGUUCAAUUAGAUACAAUUAUUCAUGACUCAUUUAAUAAGAUCUAUGAAACGUAGACACCUAGACUGUUGUUCAACAUUUGCUAGAUAACAUUAUUCUGUUAUAAAACCUGAAUAGGCAUUCUCGGUGUGAUGUUAAAG